rnacentral:rRNA from 1 species
UGGGGAAUAUUGCACAAUGGGCGCAAGCCUGAUGCAGCGACGCCGCGUGGGGGAUGAAGGCCUUCGGGUUGUAAACUCCUUUCGCUAGGGACGAAGCCUUUUAGGUGACGGUACCUGGAGAAGAAGCACCGGCUAACUACGUGCCAGCAGCCGCGGUAAUACGUAGGGUGCGAGCGUUGUCCGGAAUUACUGGACGUAAAGAGCUCGUAGGUGGUUUGUCGCGUCGUCUGUGAAAUCCCGGGGCUUAACUUCGGGCGUGCAGGCGAUACGGGCAUAACUUGAGUGCUGUAGGGGAGACUGGAAUUCCUGGUGUAGCGGUGAAAUGCGCAGAUAUCAGGAGGAACACCAAUGGCGAAGGCAGGUCUCUGGGCAGUAACUGACGCUGAGGAGCGAAAGCAUGGGUAGCGAACAGG